rnacentral:rRNA from 1 species
AUUGAACGCUGGCGGCAGGCUUAACACAUGCAAGUCGAGCGAGCGGCGGACGGGUGAGGAAUGUCUGGGAAACUGCCUGAUGGAGGGGGAUAACUACUGGAAACGGUAGCUAAUACCGCAUACCAUCAGAUGUGCCACGAUGGGAUGAGCUAGUGGGUGGGGUAAUGGCUCACCAAGGCGACGAUCCCUAGAUGGUCUGAGAGGAUGACCAGCCACACGGGAACUGAGACACGGUCCAGACUCCUACGGGAGGCAGCAGUGGGGAAUAAUGCACAAUGGGGGCGAGCCUGAUGCAGCCAUGCCGGGUGGGUGAAGAAGGCCUUCGGGUUGUAAAGCACUUUCAGCGAGAAGGCGUUACUCGCAGAAGAAGCACCGGCUAACUCCGUGCCAGCAGCCGCGGUAAUAC